rnacentral:rRNA from 1 species
GACGAACGCUGGCGGCGUGCCUAAUACAUGCAAGUUGAGCGAUGAAGCUUGGUGCUUGCACCAAUUUGAAGAGCAGCGAACGGGUGAGUAACGCGUGGGGAAUCUGCCUUUGAGCGGGGGACAACAUGUGGAAACGAAUGCUAAUACCGCAUAACAACUUUAAACAUAAGUUUUAAGUUUGAAAGAUGCAAUUGCAUCACUCAAAGAUGAUCCCGCGUUGUAUUAGCUAGUUGGUGAGGUAAAGGCUCACCAAGGCGAUGAUACAUAGCCGACCUGAGAGGGUGAUCGGCCACAUUGGGACUGAGACACGGCACAAACGCCUACGGGAGGCAGCAGUAGGGAAUCUUCGGCAAGGGACGAAAGUCUGACCGAGCAAGGCCGAGGGAGUGAAGAAGGUUGUCGGAUCGUAAAACUCUGUUUGUAGAGAAGAACGUUCGUGAGAGUGGAAAGCUCAUCAAGUGACGGUAACUACCCAGAAAGGGACGGCUAACUACGUG